rnacentral:rRNA from 1 species
CCUACGGGAGGCAGCAGUGGGGAAUCUUGCGCAAUGGGCGAAAGCCUGACGCAGCAACGCCGCGUGAAGGAUGAAGGUCCUUGGAUUGUAAACUUCUGUCGGCCGGGAAGAAAUUCAUCGGGGUCAAUACCCCCGGUGAUUGACUGUACCGGCAAAGGAAGCCCCGGCUAACUCUGUGCCAGCAGCCGCGGUAAU